rnacentral:rRNA from 1 species
UACGUAGGGUGCAAGCGUUGUCCGGAAUUAUUGGGCGUAAAGGGCUCGUAGGCGGUUUGUCGCGUCGGGAGUGAAAUCCACUGGCUUAACUGGUGGCUUGCUUUCGAUACGGGCAGACUGGAGGUAUGCAGGGGAGAACGGAAUUCCUGGUGUAGCGGUGAAAUGCGCAGAUAUCAGGAGGAACACCGGUGGCGAAGGCGGUUCUCUGGGCAUGUCCUGACGCUGAGGAGCGAAAGCGUGGGGAGCGAACAGG